rnacentral:RNase_P_RNA from 1 species
UAAGUAUUUCGCCUUAUCGCUGUUUUAGUAAUAAAAUGGAGGAAAGUCCGAACACCAUAGUGCAACAUAGUGGUUAAUGGCCACCAGUCGUGAGGCUAGGAAAAGUGCAACAGAAAGUAUGUACAGGUAAUGCUGUAGUGAAACCAGGUAAACUCUAUGUGGUGCAAUGUCAUGUAAACUAAUGCUUGAGCGUGCACGCGCGAUGUUAGAGGGUAGGCAGCUAAAGUGUAUUGGUAACAAUGCACGUAGAUAAAUGAUAAGGGCUUUUUCUUUAUAGAAAGAGUACAGAAUUCGGCUUAUAGAUAUACUUCAUCA